UCUCUCUCUCUCUCUCUCUCUCUCUCUCGCUUGGUCGCGGUGUGUGUGGCGCGAUUUGGUGGUUGGACGAAGAUGUGAAGUGCGUUGGAUGCCUAGGUACAAUAGAUAAUGAAGUGGUGGGGUGGUGGUGACUAUAGGCGGCAGCGACAGAAGAUGAGUGGUGGUGAGAAAGGAAUCGGGUGAUACUGGAAGUGAUGAAUAGUGGUGUCACUGAAGGAGUCCCUCAAAUCGCUGUGCCUGCGCGCCCCAGUUUGGCUUCUUAGAGCACACGAGAAACUGCGUGAAAGGUAAAAGUCCCAGUAAAAAUUCCUCAUAUUUUGUGCAAAACCCAUACUGAUUUCUUAAUCAAUAUAUGUAACAUAUAUACGAGUGGAUCUUAUCUCGGAAUAGUAAAUUUCUUAGUCAAAAGCCGAGUCAGUUUUCAUUUUUUUUUUUUUUAUUUAUCAUUGUUCGAUUUUCUAAGACUAUUUUCGAUAUUCUUAGUGACAAUUCUUCUCUAAACCGUGUCUUUGGCGCUCAUUCAUCUAAAUGAAGGUUAUUUUUUGUUCUUCCCUAAUUAUACUUCUGUAGAACUUUAUUUAUAAUUUGUAUUUUUAAUUUGAUCUGCCUAUAGGUAUAUAAGUUUGGGUAAAAAAAACUGGUAUGAGAUGUAAAGCUUUAAACUUUAUUUUAUUAUUUUUACACGUCAGUUUUCCUCAGUUUAUUUGGGUUAUCAAAAUAAAUUGUUUUUUUUUUUUUUUUUAAUCAAAUUCUUUUAGCUCAUCUUCAUCUAAAUAUCCUUUGUAUAUUGUAAGUAAUACCACAUUUUUGCACACUACCUUGAUCUGUGUAGUGUUUGGCGUUAUUUUUGAGAGUCAAUGUUUUUUGCUAUCAUGACAUAAUGCCAAAGUCAAUAUUUAUUGUCAAGGGCGAUAUUAUUUUCUAAUCAACCAAAAUGGGUGACAGAAGGUUGAAAGAACGGUUGAAAAUAUUGUAGCAUAAUUAAUGAGGUAAUUACCAAGAAUUCACUACAAAUAAUGGUGAUAUUUUAAAUUUUAAGAGAAGAAAUCUGAGAGAUGUAAUAGGGAGAAAUUAUGAGUGGAGAUGAUUUCUCUUUGAGGAAAUUAAAGAUGAAAGCAGUAAUACGAAAGGACAGUUGAUUAGUGGCAUUGAAACAAAACCAAGCGAUAUCACCAACUACAAGUGGGAAGAGAAGGACAACAAUGUUAUUGGCAGUUUGAACUCAGCAUUAGCAAAUUCAAUUAUGUCAAGUGUUGUAGAGAAGACGACGACAAAGGAGAUAUGUAAGAAAUUUUACAAGACAAAGUCACUCAUAAUAAGAUCUUCUUAAAGAGGAGGGUCUGCACUCUUUUAAUGGUGAAAUCUGCAUCUUAUAACAUUAUCGCAUCUAAUUGAACUACUUCUUUAACCAAGAGUGGUUUCUCAUUGCAAGCAAAAUCUAAUACAAUUUGAACUCCUCAGGCAAAACGUGUCCUAUAGAAUUUGAGGAUAACUACGAGUCCUACUAACCAAGAGUACAAAAUUACUGGAUUAAGUGAGAGGUCUUGCAAAGAGCAAUUGUAUGUUUUAUCUGUUCUAUUCAAGCUUGUUAUUUAUUUAUAUUUUCACUUUUCUGGUUUCCUUUGCUUGGCAUUAGUCUGAAGUUCUUUUUUCUCAAAGUCUCAGGUUCUCACUGAAGCAGAAAAACAAGGAUGAUGCUAGUGAAGCUCAAACCACUGAGUGACUGUCUAUGAUUACUUUGUUAAUAGCCGCAAUAUUGAUUUGCGCUAUUCUGCUGAUUUACCUUGUAUCAAUGUUGGCAAGCCAAAACGUCCAACUAACUUCCCUAUUGAGGUAAAAUCUUGUAAUAAAAUUCCAAAACACGAGUUGGUGAAGCUGUUACCCUGUCCUUGAUAUGCUUCUGGAGUUUAUUUAUGGCGUUCUUUAAAUUUUAUCAGUCUUAUAGAUAUGUUCUUGAAGAUAAACCAGAAUUUACCGAGUCAUUUCCUUCCAGUACUUUUUCUUAGCUUGGGCGUUGUAGUUCUGUUGAGACUUGAAAAAACUUAUAAAACUCAUGUUGUCUCACAGGAGGAAACAAAUAGGCUCUCAUUUACGGGGGCCUGGAACUGACUUCAGCUGAAAUCAUUCCCCUUUAAUGCGUGGCCUCCUUUUAGGUCAAUUAACUUGUUUUGGC
rnacentral:lncRNA from 1 species